rnacentral:rRNA from 1 species
AUGACCCCAAGCCCCACAGAGAGUCCUACUUGUGCGGCGAGGCAGAAUGAUGCUUCUGAUAAUGGUGCAAUUGCAGCAAUCGACUCAGAUGAUGCUCAUGACCUGGCUGAUGUUAGCAUAGCUGAGAACAGCAAAGCAAGCCAUGUGCCAUCCUGUAUCUUCGACUUUGGUGAUAAUAUUUGGUGCCCACCACCGCCUGAAGAUGAGAUUGAUGAUGCUGAAUCGAGGUUAUUUGGAUUCGAUGACGACGAUGAUGAAAUUGGGGAUUCCAACAACACUUUUGCCCCAAGUUGUUUCAGUGCUAAAACUAAUAGAGCAACUGGUGUCAGCAAUAUCAAUUGUGGGUCCCACCAAGAGAGUGUUCAGAAGGAUCUAUUUAGGCAUUUUCAAGCUCUAGUUGCACAGUUACUGAAGGCGGAAGGUGUUGGGUUGGCCAGUGAGAAGGAUUCCAAAAUCUGGCUCGAUAUUGUGUCCUCGUUAGCAUGGCAAGCCGCUUACUUUGUGAAACCUGACACCAAGAAAGGCGGCAGCAUGGAUCCUAGUGAUUAUGUGAAGAUCAAGUGCAUAGCAUCUGGGAACCCAACUGAUAGCAAUUUUAUAAGAGGAAUUGUUUGCUCCAAGAAUGUAAAACACAAACGCAUGGUCUCAGAGUACAGUAAUGCCAAAUUGCUCAUUUUAGGAGGUGCACUUGAGUACCAGAAAGCUUCUAAUAAGUUAGCAUCAAUUGGAACUAUACUCGAACAGGAAAAGGAAUAUCUACGAACUGUUGUUGGAAAGAUUGAGUCUAGGAAACCUAAUGUGCUGAUAGUUGAGAAGAGCGUCUCAUCUUAUGCCCAGGAGCUCUUAGCGAAAGAUAUCUCAUUAGUUCUGAAUGUAAAGAGGACACUUUUGGAGAGAAUAUCAAAAUGCACGGGCGGUCAGAUUGCCUCGUCAAUUGAUAACAUUGCUUCAGCAAGGCUAGGGCAAUGUGACAUGUUCAAGGUGGAAAAGGUUCUGGAAUCAUUUGCAUCAGGACAUGCAGAGAAGAGACCAACACCGAAAACGCUGAUGUUUUUUGAAGGCUGUCUGAAGCGCCUGGGUUGCACGGUUCUACUAAGAGGAGAUUGUCGAGAAGAAUUGAAGAAGAUUAAGCAUGCAAUGCAACUGGCAGUGUUUGCUGCUUAUCAUCUGUCCCUCGAGACAUCAUUCCUUGCUGAUGAGGGCGCAACAAUUCCACAAGUUCUUUCAGUAACUGCAAUGGGUGCACAACAAGCAUGGACCAAUACAGAUCACAUUUCUGCUAAGUCUGCUGAUCGUGAUACUACUGAUAGUCUCAGAGCUGCGGAAGAGAAAUGCCCACAGACUGCUGCCAUCACGCAAAUGUUUGAUGGUAUUUCUGCAUCACCGCCUUCAUUACGAUUGGAUGGGCAAAGCCUUGGAAGUGCACUUGAGUGUACCGAAUCUGAAUCUCCUGUUAAUCAUGCCAAUUCUCUGAAUGCCGUUAAUGCCUGCCAAAAGGCUGUCUUGGCAAAGAUACCCGUGGAUUUAUGUCAUUUGGAAAACAGUGGGAGUGGCCUACCACCAGAUGACUUCCAGGCAGGAGGCCUAGAUAACCAGAACAGGCUUUCAUGUAGCUACUUACCUGGUACUGAUAAUCAUCAGAGCAUCUUAGUUUCCCUCUCAAGCACCUGUAUCCCCAAAAACUUAGCAUGUGAGCGUUCCCACCUCUUCCGCAUCAAGUUUUAUGGUAGCUUUGAUAAGCCACUUGGGAGAUACCUUCGCGAAAACUUAUUUGACCAGGCAUAUUGCUGUCCGUCAUGCAAGGAGCCUUCAGAAUCACAUGCCAGAUGCUACAUGCACCAGAAUGGCAGCCUAACAAUAAGUGUUAGGCGUCUCUUAUCCCAAAAGUUGCCAGGUGAACACGAUGGAAGGAUAUGGAUGUGGCACAGAUGUAUGAAGUGCAAAUUUGAAGAUGGAAUGCCGCCUGCUACACAUAGAGUGGUCAUGUCUGAUUCUGCUUGGGGUCUAUCCUUUGGGAAGUUUCUAGAGCUCAGCUUUUCUAAUCAUGCAACUGCCAACCGAAUUGCGAGCUGUGGGCACUCUCUACAACGGGACUGCCUUCGUUUUUAUGGGUAUGGAAAUAUGGUAGCAGCCUUCCAUUAUAGUCCCAUGCUUACUCGAUCAGUUAACCUCCCACCCUCGGUGCUGAAUUUCAAUUGCCACAGCAUGCAAGACUGGGUGAAAGGAGAAACAGUCAUGGUAUUUGAUGAAAUGGAAUCCUUACAUUUGGAGGUAUAUGGUUUCCUUAAUAGUAUUGAGAGGAGUAUCAUUACCAUGGAUGAGCCAGUAAAAACAGGUAUACGGAGGCAGAUUAUAGAGAUGAAGGAUUUGCUUAACAGGGAAAGAAAUGAAUACGAGGGUUUGCUUCUACCAGUUAUAAAGGGGAGUGUUCAUUCCAUGAAAUCAACUAUUGAUACUUUGGAACUCAACCGUGUGAGACGUGGUCUCCUCCUAGAUGCAUACGUUUGGGACUGCAGGUUGUGUAACAUUGAUUCGCUUAAAGCAAAUGGCCAUAUUGCCAGAACUGAUUCUUCCAAUCCAGAAAAUCUCCAAGCCACCAGCAUAAAGGAAGAUAAAUCUGAGCUACUGACGACUGUUACACAGCAUGGAGAAACACAUGAAGGACCUGCUACAUACAGAAGGUGCUCCUCUGGAAGUCCAAGGAGAUCUCUACUAUCCAGAGAGGCCUCAAUAGAUAACGGGAAUAUCUUGGUUGAAACAAGUUUGCCGAUUGGGCAGGUGGAUGGUGUGAGUGGUGCAGGGGAUCUUGACGUGGUCUUUAGCAAAUUCAGUGUGUCUGAAAAUGGACAGCGCCUUUCCAUGAAUUCCGUCGAGACGGUACCAGUCGAGAGGUUACCCUCUCUUGCAUCUAUUUUAUCUGAUAAAAUAGAUAUGUUAUGGAGUGGAUCUACUGAAGCACACUGCAGUCUUCCACAAGAUUUGAUCAAAGCUGAUGGGAAGGGGUCUUUUAAUUUGUUGGGCAAUCCAAGCUACAAGAAGGCAAUCUCCCCAGUUCGAGUCCAUUCAUUUGAUUCUAUAUUCAGAUUGCAUGAACGGGAACAAACUGGAUUGUUGCCUGCUUCAUUACAUUUGUCCUUGAAAAUGAGAUCAGUUGAUUCCUUUAGAGAUUUGACAAGCCUUGUGAAGGAUCCGAUGACAAACAUGCGCAGGGCUUUUUCUCAAAUAUCUCCUAGAUCAAGGGGAAACUUAAAUGUUAUUCUUACUCGUGCACCUACAUAUCUCAAAUCUGCUUCUCAUAUGGUGAGUGAUGGGGCACGGCUGCUGCUGCCUCAUAUUGGUUCUGAAGGUGCCCUUGUUGUUGCUGUCUAUGAUGAUGAGCCAACCAGUAUCGUAUCAUAUGCCAUGACGUCACAAGAAUAUGUUGAGCAUGUUACGCAUAAACUGGAUUCAAAAUCCAGCUUUCAACAUAUGUCAAAUUGCUCCGCGGUCAGCAGUAACGGACUUGAGAAAGCUUUGCCUUCACAAGAAGGAGCCCACUUUAAGUAUUCGUUUGACGAUGAAGCAUUUUGUGCAGAUAAUACAAAGUUUUCAGUGACUUGUUAUUUUGCAAGGCAGUUUGCUUCACUUAGAAAGAAGUGCUGUCCAAGUGAUGUUGAUUACAUACGUUCACUCAGUCGCUGUAAAAGAUGGAGUGCUGAUGGUGGAAAAAGUAAUGUUUACUUUGCAAAGACAAUGGAUGAGAGAUUCAUAAUUAAACAAGUCACCAAGACGGAGCUAGACUCUUUUGUUGGGUUUGCUCCUCACUACUUCAGGCACUUGACUCAAUCAUUGACUUCUGGAAGCCCAACUUGUCUGGCCAAAAUAUUAGGAAUUUAUCAGGUUAAUAUCAAGGGCUUGAAAGGAGGGCGUGAGGUUAAGAUGGAUCUUAUGGUUAUGGAGAACAUUUUCUUCCAGAAAACAAUAUCGAGGGUGUAUGAUCUAAAGGGUUCCGUGCGUUCACGCUAUAAUUCAGAUACAUCUAGCAACAAUAAAGUACUUUUGGAUUCUAAUCUCAUUGAGGAACUACAUACAAAGCCUAUAUUUUUGGGCCGUAAGGCGAAGCGAACAUUGGAAAGAGCUGUCUGGAAUGAUACAUCAAUUCUUGCGUCGUUGGAUGUCAUGGACUACUCGCUUCUGGUCGGCAUUGACGAGGAGAAGAAUGAACUUGUGAUCGGCAUCAUCGACUUCCUACGACAGUACACCUGGGACAAGCAGUUGGAGACGUGGGUGAAGGCCUCAGGCAUCCUAGGCGGCCCCAAGAAUGAGACCCCAACUGUCAUUUCGCCGGUCCAGUAUAAGAAGAGGUUCAGAAAGGCCAUGUUGAGGUACUUCAUUGCCAUCCCCGACCAAUGGUCCUCUUGA